AGAUCAUGAUGAAGUCCUAUAAAUCAUCCGCAGUGUUUCCUAAAGCUUUGGCUAAUGACGGAUUGAUUUUCUUCCUUGGAUGUCUGAAUCU
rnacentral:snoRNA from 1 species